UUCGCUUAAUCUAUUUUAAAUAGAGCGGGGGACCCAACCUUCUUGGGGCGUAUUUCUCUUUUAGAGAAUAGGAUACUUUUCAAUCCGAGCCCGACAGCUAACCUCGUCAGCAUUGAAAAGAG
rnacentral:sRNA from 1 species